AGUGAACGCUGGCGGUAGGCCUAACACAUGCAAGUCGAACGGCAGCACAGUAAGAGCUUGCUCUUACGGGUGGCGAGUGGCGGACGGGUGAGGAAUACAUCGGAAUCUACUUUUUCGUGGGAGAUAACGUAGGGAAACUUACGCUAAUACCGCAUACGACCUACGGGUGAAAGCAGGGGAUCUUCGGACCUUGCGCGAUUGAAUGAGCCGAUGUCGGAUUAGCUAGUUGGCGGGGUAAAGGCCCACCAAGGCGACGAUCCGUAGCUGGUCUGAGAGGAUGAUCAGCCACACUGGAACUGAGACACGGUCCAGACUCCUACGGGAGGCAGCAGUGGGGAAUAUUGGACAAUGGGCGCAAGCCUGAUCCAGCCGUACCGCGUGGGUGAAGAAGGCCUUCUGGUUGUAAAGCCCUUUUGUUGGGAAAGAAAAGCAGCAGGUUAAUACCCCGCUGUUCUGACGGUACCCAAAGAAUAAGCACCGGCUAACUUCGUG
rnacentral:rRNA from 1 species